UGAGGAAUAUUGGUCAAUGGGCGAGAGCCUGAACCAGCCAAGUAGCGUGCAGGAAGACGGCCCUAUGGGUUGUAAACUGCUUUUAUGUGGGGAUAAAGUGCGUGACGUGUCAUGCAUUGCAGGUACCACAUGAAUAAGGACCGGCUAAUUCCGUGCCAGCAGCCGCGGUAAUACGGAAGGUUCGGGCGUUAUCCGGAUUUAUUGGGUUUAAAGGGAGCGUAGGCCGUUUGGUAAGCGUGUUGUGAAAUGUAGGAGCUCAACUUCUAGAUUGCAGCGCGAACUGUCAGACUUGAGUGCGCACAACGUAGGCGGAAUUCAUGGUGUAGCGGUGAAAUGCUUAGAUAUCAUGAAGAACUCCGAUUGCGAAGGCAGCUUACGGGAGCACAACUGACGCUGAAGCUCGAAGGUACGGGUAUCGAACAGG
rnacentral:rRNA from 1 species